rnacentral:rRNA from 1 species
UGGGGAAUAUUGGACAAUGGGGGCAACCCUGAUCCAGCCAUGCCGCGUGUGUGAAGAAGGCCUUUUGGUUGUAAAGCACUUUAAGCAGUGAAGAAGACUCCAUGGUUAAUACCCAUGGACGAUGACAUUAGCUGCAGAAUAAGCACCGGCUAACUCUGUGCCAGCAGCCGCGGUAAUACAGAGGGUGCAAGCGUUAAUCGGAAUUACUGGGCGUAAAGCGAGCGUAGGUGGCUUGAUAAGUCAGAUGUGAAAGCCCCGGGCUUAACCUGGGAACGGCAUCUGAUACUGUUAGGCUAGAGUAGGUGAGAGGAAGGUAGAAUUCCAGGUGUAGCGGUGAAAUGCGUAGAGAUCUGGAGGUAUACCGAUGGCGAAGGCAGCCUUCUGGCAUCAUACUGACACUGAGGUUCGAAAGCGUGGGUAGCAAACA